rnacentral:rRNA from 1 species
UUGACCCACCAAAAAAACCUUGACCUCAAAUCGGGUGAGACUACCCGCUGAACUUAAGCAUAUCAAUAAGCGGAGGAAAAGAAACUAACAAGGAUUCCCCUAGUAACUGCGAGUGAAGCGGGAAAAGCUCAAAUUUAAAAUCUGGUGGCCUUUGGCCAUCCGAGUUGUAAUUUAGAGAAGCGUCUUCCGCGCUGGACCGUGCACAAGUCUCCUGGAACGGAGCGUCGUAGAGGGUGAGAAUCCCGUCUUUGGCACGGACGCCCAGUGCUUCUGUGAUGCGCUCUCGAAGAGUCGAGUUGUUUGGGAAUGCAGCUCAAAAUGGGUGGUGAACUCCAUCUAAAGCUAAAUAUUGGCGAGAGACCGAUAGCGAACAAGUACCGUGAGGGAAAGAUGAAAAGCACUUUGGAAAGAGAGUGAAACAGUACGUGAAAUUGUUGAAAGGGAAACGCUUGAAGUCAGUCGCGUCGUCCGAGACUCAGCCUCGCCUCGGCUUGGUGUACUUCUCGGCCGACGGGUCAGCAUCAAUUUCGCCCCUUGGAUAAUGGCCAGGGAAAUGUGACACCUUUACGGGUGUGUUAUAGUCUCUGGUCGCAUGCAAGGGUCGGGAUUGAGGAACUCAGCACGCGCCUUCGGGCGUCGGGGUUCGCCCACGAUACGUGCUUAGGAUGUUGGCGUAAUGGCUUUAAACGACCCGUCUUGAACCACGGACCA